AUGGCUGGGAUUAGGAGACAAAACUGGCUACCACCACUAAGCAGAAAGAUUCCACAAAGGCAAAGGGGAAGCUUACAUGAAGCAGACCUGAGUUCCUGCUAUUACUUAUGUGCAACAUCAGAAAGAGAAUUCCAUGAUAAGUGUGGACAGUCUCUAAGGUAGCGUUUUUGGAAAUAGUUUAAAGGUUUCUUGGUGGUUGCAUUUAUUUUUUACUGAAUGUGAAUGUGUAUAUUCUCAACAUAUGUUUAUAUACACGUAUAAAGUGUGUAUGUACACAUUAGUUCAUGCUUCCAUAAACACAAGAUGACUGAGGUGCUGCUUAAGUCAUGGGUUACCUAUGUGUUGGUUAUUUUGAUUUUUUUUUUCUUAACUAUACCCAAAGGAUAUUACUUUUAUCCAUUUUACCAUGAAUAAAUCCAUGUUAGUGAUGUGAGGAUUUUUUUUU
rnacentral:lncRNA from 1 species